rnacentral:rRNA from 1 species
GUACACUCCUGCGGGAGGCAGCAGUGGGGAAUUUUGGACAAUGGGCGAAAGCCUGAUCCAGCAAUGCCGCGUGAGUGAAGAAGGCCUUCGGGUUGUAAAGCUCUUUUGUCAGGGAAGAAACGGUGAGAGCUAAUAUCUUUUGCUAAUGACGGUACCUGAAGAAUAAGCACCGGCUAACUACGUGCCAGCAGCCGCGGUAAUACGUAGGGUGCAAGCGUUAAUCGGAAUUACUGGGCGUAAAGCGUGCGCAGGCGGUUUUGUAAGUCUGAUGUGAAAUCCCCGGGCUCAACCUGGGAAUUGCAUUGGAGACUGCAAGGCUAGAAUCUGGCAGAGGGGGGUAGAAUUCCACGUGUAGCAGUGAAAUGCGUAGAUAUGUGGAGGAACACCGAUGGCGAAGGCAGCCCCCUGGGUCAAGAUUGACGCUCAUGCACGAAAGCGUGGGGAGCAAACAGGAUUAGAAACCCGAGUAGUCCCAU